CCUACGGGUGGCAGCAGUGAGGAAUAUUGGUCAAUGGCCGAGAGGCUGAACCAGCCAAGUCGCGUGAGGGAAGACGGCCCUACGGGUUGUAAACCUCUUUUGUCGGGGAGCAAAGCGAGUCACGUGUGACUCCUUGAGAGUACCCGAAGAAAAAGCAUCGGCUAACUCCGUGCCAGCAGCCGCGGUAAGACGGAGGAUGCGAGCGUUAUCCGGAUUUAUUGGGUUGAAAGGGUGCGCAGGCGGGGGUGCAAGUCAGCGGUCAAAUUGCGGGGCUCAACCCCGUACUGCCGUUGAAACUGCAUGCCUUGAUUGUGGGAGAAGUAUGCGGAAUGCGUGGUGUAGCGGUGAAAUGCGUAGAUAUCACGCAGAACUCCGAUUGCGAAGGCAGCAUACCGGCGCGCAACUGACGCUCAUGCACGAAAGCGUGGGUAUCGAACAGGAUUAGAUACCCGGGUAGUC
rnacentral:rRNA from 1 species